rnacentral:lncRNA from 1 species
CUGAUCAUAUUGAUAUACAUAGGCCAUUUUUUAAGUUUAUUUCUCUAAGAUGAACUGAGAAAUUAAUGAGAAAGUGGCCAUUCAUGGACAAAGAAAUGGGACAUGGUUAUCAAAAACCUUGCACAACCUCAUCUGUCUUAUAGAGAGUUAGACAUUAAAAAGUGCCCAAAAUUUGAUUCGCUUUUAAUGGAUUAUUUGCCUCUAACUCUUAGAAGUUUUGUGAGUGGCCAAUGUAAGAAAUUUGGGGUGCCUAUUGGAUGAUGGGGAGAAUGUCCAUUUCGGCAGAACAUCUCUCCUUGAAUCUCUUAAAGUUAGUAACUGUGAAGCUCUGUAAUCAAUAUCAUCAAGCAGUAAGUUACCCAUUUGGCUUAAAUUGUUGAGUAUCAUGGAUUGCCCAAAGCUGGGAUUUGUAG